rnacentral:rRNA from 1 species
AGAGUUUGAUCAUGGCUCAGGACGAACGCUGGCGGCGUGCCUAAUACAUGCAAGUCGAGCGGACUGAUGGGAGCUUGCUCCCAUCAGUCAGCGGCGGACGGGUGAGUAACACGUGGGUAACCUGCCUGUAAGACUGGGAUAACUCCGGGAAACCGGGGCUAAUACCGGAUAACUCAUUUCCUCGCAUGAGGAAAUGUUGAAAGGUGGCUUUUAGCUAUCACUUACAGAUGGACCCGCGGCGCAUUAGCUAGUUGGUGAGGUAAUGGCUCACCAAGGCGACGAUGCGUAGCCGACCUGAGAGGGUGAUCGGCCACACUGGGACUGAGACGCGGCCCAGACUCCUACGGGAGGCAGCAGUAGGGAAUCUUCCGCAAUGGACGAAAGUCUGACGGAGCAACGCCGCGUGAGUGAUGAAGGUUUUCGGGUCGUAAAACUCCGUUGUUAGGGAAGAACAAGUACGAGAGUAACUGCUCGUACCUUGACGGUACCUAACCAGAAAGCCACGGCUAACUACGUGCCAGCAACCGCGGUAAUACGUAGGUGGCAAGCGUUAUCCGGAAUUAUUGGGCGUAAAGCGCGCGCAGGCGGUUUCUUAAGUCUGAUGUGAAAGCCCACGGCUCAACCGUGGA